UACGGGGGGGGCAAGCGUUGUUCGGAAUUACUGGGCGUAAAGGGCUCGUAGGUGGCCAACUAAGUCAGACGUGAAAUCCCUCGGCUUAACCGGGGAACUGCGUCUGAUACUGGAUGGCUUGAGUUCGGGAGAGGGAUGCGGAAUUCCAGGUGUAGCGGUGAAAUGCGUAGAUAUCUGGAGGAACACCGGUGGCGAAGGCGGCAUCCUGGACCGACACUGACACUGAGGAUCGAAAGCCAGGGGAGCAAACGGG
rnacentral:rRNA from 1 species